rnacentral:lncRNA from 1 species
UUUUAAUCCACCGACCCUUGUACAGCACAUAAAGGAUGCCUGAGAAAUCAACAUGCAAAGCAUAAAUAUAUGCAAGGAAAGAUCUAUGUGUGCCUGACAGGCUAUAUUUAAAACAUCUCCACUUACUUGGUGAGAAGGAAUAUGGAAUGUGAUCAAUAAUCUGCCUUCUGAGCAUUGACAUCUGAAAAAUAGCUGGUCCCAGUUUUGUCUUUGGAAUCCCAGCAGAAUGCAGGGCGUGAAAAGGAUGGUGAAGGAAUUCACUUGUUCUUGAGUAGAGACUGCAGUCUCUGCGGAACUAAACGCCUU